rnacentral:tRNA from 1 species
GCUCUAGUAGCUUAACCUCAAAGCAUUGUUCUUGUAAACCAAAGCUGGGCCCCCCCCUAGAGUA